CCUACGGGUGGCAGCAGUGGGGAAUAUUGCACAAUGGGGGAAACCCUGAUGCAGCGACGCCGCGUGGGUGACGAAGUAUUUCGGUAUGUAAAGCCCUAUCAGCAGGGAAGACGAUGACAGUACCUGACUAAGAAGCCCCGGCUAACUACGUGCCAGCAGCCGCGGUAAUACGUAGGGGGCAAGCGUUAUCCGGAUUUACUGGGUGUAAAGGGAGCGUAGGUGGCAUGGCAAGCCAGAAGUGAAAACCCGGGGCUUAACCCCGCGGAUUGCUUUUGGAACUGUCAGGCUGGAGUGUAGGAGGGGCAGGCGGAAUUCCUGGUGUAGCGGUGAAAUGCGUAGAUAUAAGGAGGAACACCGGUGGCGAAGGCGGCCUGCUGGACUGUAACUGACACUGAGGCUCGAAAGCGUGGGGAGCAAACAGGAUUAGAUACCCCUGUAGUC
rnacentral:rRNA from 1 species